UACGGGGGGAGCAAGCGUUGUUCGGAUUUACUGGGCGUAAAGGGCGCGUAGGCGGUCAGCACAAGUCAGUUGUGAAAUCUCCGGGCUUAACUCGGAAAGGUCAACUGAUACUGUGCGACUAGAGUGCGGAAGGGGCAACUGGAAUUCUCGGUGUAGCGGUGAAAUGCGUAGAUAUCGAGAGGAAUACCUGUGGCGAAGGCGGCCUACUGGGCCGGACCUGACGCUGAGACGCGAAGGCGUGGGGAGCGAACGGG
rnacentral:rRNA from 1 species